rnacentral:rRNA from 1 species
GUGGGGAAUAUUGGGCAAUGGGGGCAACCCUGACCCAGCGACGCCGCGUGAGGGAAGACGGCCUUCGGAUUGUAAACCUCUUUUGUACGGGAAGAAGGAAGUGACGGUACUGUACGAAUAAGUCCCGGCUAACUACGUGCCAGCAGCCGCGGUAAUACGUAGGGGACGAGCGUUGUCCGGAAUUACUGGGCGUAAAGGGCGCGCAGGCUGUGCUGCAAGUCAGCUGUGAAAUGUCUGGGCUUAACCCGGGCAUGCGGUUGAGACUGCAGUGCUGGAGUGCUGUAGAGGCAAGUGGAAUUCCCAGUGUAGCGGUGAAAUGCGUAGAUAUUGGGAAGAACACCGGUGGCGAAGGCGACUUGCUGGGCAGCAACUGACGCUGAGGCGCGAAAGCCAGGGGAGCAAACGGGAUUAGAAACCCUGGUAGUCC